AUACGGUCGAAAUGCCGGGGAAUAACCGAUAAUGUCUCUUCCUUCCAGGUGUGAGAAGAAAGGUGCAAACCGCUUUGAUACGGGCUUAUCUCCUAUCACGGCCGUUGGUAGGGUGACGGCUUACCAAACCUACGACGGGUAGAUGGUCUGAUAAGACGGUCAGCCACUUUGGCACUGAGACACGGACCAGACUCCUACAGUAGGCAGCAGCCGGGAAUAUUCGGCAAUGGGCGAAAGCCUGACCGAGCGACACCGCGUGAGCGACGAAGGCCUUCGGGUCGUAGAGCUCUUUUAUUUGGGAAGAAUGCAUAGAAAUAUGUUUGACGGUACCAUUUGAAUAAGCCCCAGCUAACUACGUGCCACGCAGCUGCAGGUAAUACGUAGGGGGCAAGCGUUAUCCGGAAUCACUGGGCGUAAAGGGUCCGCAGGUGUCCCGUUAAGUUAGAUGUUAAAUCGCAAGGCUCAACCUUGCGGCUGCAUCUAAUACUGACAGGAUAGAGGAUAGGUGACUGAAGUGAAAUUCCUGGUGGAGAGGUAAAAUCCGUAGAUAUCAGGAGGAACACCCGUGGCGUAGGCGGCUUCCGAACCUAUUCCUGACACUCAUGGACGAAAGCUAGGGGAGCAAACAGGAUUAGAUACCCUGGUAGUCCUAGCUGUAAACGAUGAAUACUAGAUAGUAGGUGCUACACCGUACUCACCGUUGUAGCUAACGCGUUAAGUAUUUCGCCUGGGAACUACGAUCGCCAGUUUGAAACUCAAAGGAAUUGACGGGUCCCCGCACAAGCAGCGAGGCAUGUGGCUUAAUUCGAUGCAACACGAAGAAACUUAACUGGACUUGACAUGUUUCUGAAAGGCCGGAGAAACCCGGUCCCUUCCAGUUUACUGGAACAGUUUCACAGGUGGUGCAUGGUUGUCGUCAGCUCGUGUCGUGAGAUGUAAGGUUAAGUCCUUAAACGAGCGUAACCUUUGUCAUUAGUUGCCACCGGUUCGGUCGAGCACUCUAAUGAGACCGCUAGCGACAAGCCAGAGGAAGAUGGAGAUGACGUCAAAUCCUCACGUCCCUUAUGUCCAGGGCCGCACACAUGCGACAAUGGUAGAGACAGCGGGUUGCGACGGGGUAACCCUGAGCUAAUCCAUAA
rnacentral:rRNA from 1 species